rnacentral:rRNA from 1 species
CCAAUAGCGUAUAUUAAAGUUGUUGCAGUUAAAAAGCUCGUAGUUGAAUUUCGGGAUUAGUACGUCGGUCGUGCCUUAGGUACGUACUGGUGUUACUGGUUCCUACCUUCUGACGAACCAUCAUGUCAUUAAUUUGGUGUGGUGGGGAAUCAGGACUGUUACUUUGAAAAAAUUAGAGUGUUUAAAGCAGGCUCGCGCUUGAAUACAUUAGCAUGGAAUAAUGAAAUAGGACGUUGAUCCUAUUUUGUUGGUUUCUAGGAUUGACGUAAUGAUUAAUAGGGAUAGUUGGGGGCAUUAGUAUUCAAUUGUCAGAGGUGAAAUUCUUGGAUUUAUUGAAGACUAACUACUGCGAAAGCAUUUGCCAAGGAUGUUUUCAUUAAUCAAGAACGAAAGUUAGGGGAUCGAAGACGAUCAGAUACCGUCGUAGUCUUAACCAUAAACUAUGCCGACUAGGGAUCGGAUGAUGUUAUUUUUAAUGACUCAUUCGGCGCCUUACG